rnacentral:rRNA from 1 species
AUUGAACGCUGGCGGCAGGCUUAACACAUGCAAGUCGAGCGGAGAUGAGGUGCUUGCACCUUAUCUUAGCGGCGGACGGGUGAGUAAUGCUUAGGAAUCUGCCUAUUAGUGGGGGACAACAUUCCGAAAGGAAUGCUAAUACCGCAUACGCCCUACGGGGGAAAGCAGGGGAUCUUCGGACCUUGCGCUAAUAGAUGAGCCUAAGUCGGAUUAGCUAGUUGGUGGGGUAAAGGCCUACCAAGGCGACGAUCUGUAGCGGGUCUGAGAGGAUGAUCCGCCACCCUGGGACUGAGACACGGCCCAGACUCCUACGGGAGGCAGCAGUGGGGAAUAUUGGACAAUGGGCGGAAGCCUGAUCCAGCCAUGCCGCGUGUGUGAAGAAGGCCUUUUGGUUGUAAAGCACUUUAAGCGGGGAGGAGGCUACCUGGAUUAAUACUCUAGGAUAGUGGACGUUACUCGCAGAAUAAGCACCGGCUAACUCUGUGCCAGCCGCCGCGGUAAGAC